rnacentral:hammerhead_ribozyme from 2 species
GAAAGGUCUGUGCUUAGCACACUGACGAGUUCCUGAAAUGGAACGAAACCUUUU